ACUCUAUUUUAAAGGAAUGAAGUUGCUGGUGAUAUGGUUUGGCUGUGUCCCUACCCAAAUCUCAUCUUGUAUUGUAGUUCCCAUUAUCCCCACCUGUCAUGGGAGGGACCCAGUGGGAAGUAAUUAAUUCAUGGGGACAGUUACCUCCAUGCUGCUCUCA